AACGAACGCUGGCGGCAUGCCUAACACAUGCAAGUCGAACGAGACCUUCGGGUCUAGUGGCGCACGGGUGCGUAACGCGUGGGAACCUGCCCUUAGGUUCGGAAUAACUCCCCGAAAGGGGUGCUAAUACCGGAUAAUGUCUUCGGACCAAAGAUUUAUCGCCUUUGGAUGGGCCCGCGUUGGAUUAGCUAGUUGGUAGGGUAAAAGCCUACCAAGGCGACGAUCCAUAGAUGGUCUGAGAGGAUGAGCAGCCACACUGGGACUGAGACACGGCCCAGACUCCUACGGGAGGCAGCAGUGGGGAAUAUUGGACAGUGGGCGAAAGCCAGAUCCAGCUAUGCCGGGUGAGUGAUGAAGUCCUGAAGGAUGUAAAGCUCUUUUACCCGGGAUGAAAAUGACAGUACCGGGAGAAUAAGCACCGGCUAACUCCGUG
rnacentral:rRNA from 1 species